UACGUAGGGUGCAAGCGUUGUCCGGAAUUAUUGGGCGUAAAGAGUUCGUAGGCGGUUUGUCGCGUCCGUUGUGAAAGCUUGGGGCUCAACCCCAAGUCUGCAGUGGGUACGGGCAGACUAGAGUGUGGUAGGGGAGACUGGAAUUCCUGGUGUAGCGGUGAAAUGCGCAGAUAUCAGGAGGAACACCGAUGGCGAAGGCAGGUCUCUGGGCCACUACUGACGUGAGAAGCGAAAGCAUGGGGGAGCGAACAGG
rnacentral:rRNA from 1 species